rnacentral:rRNA from 1 species
CCUACGGGGGGCUGCAGUGGGGAAUAUUGGACAAUGGGGGAAACCCUGAUCCAGCAAUGCCGCGUGUGUGAAGAAGGCCUGCGGGUUGUAAAGCACUUUCGGUUGGGAAGAAAAGUUUGGCGCCAAUACCGCCGAACCUUGACGUUACUGACAGAAGAAGCACCGGCUAACUCUGUGCCAGCAGCCGCGGUAAUACAGAGGGUUCAAGCGGUAAUCGGAAUCACUGGGCGGUCAUGCAGCGUAGGUGGGAAAUCCCCGGGCUUAACCUGGGAACUGCAUUCGAUACUACAUGGCUAGAGUAUGGUAGAGGGAAGUGGAAUUUCCGGUGUAGCGGUGAAAUGCGUAGAUAUCAGAAGGAACACCAAUGGCGAAGGCAGCUUCCUGGACUAAUACUGACACUGAGGCACGAAAGCGUGGGUAGCAAACAGGAUUAGAUACCCGAGUAGUC